UACAGAGGUCCCGAGCGUUGUUCGGAUUCACUGGGCGUAAAGGGUGCGUAGGUGGCGAGGUAAGUCGGAUGUGAAAGCUCGGAGCUCAACUCCGAAAUGGCAUUGGAAACUACCUUGCUCGAGGGUUGGAGGGGGGACUGGAAUACUUGGUGUAGCAGUGAAAUGCGUAGAUAUCAAGAGGAACACCAGUGGCGAAGGCGAGUCCCUGGACGAUACCUGACACUGAGGCACGAAAGCCAAGGGAGCAAACAGG
rnacentral:rRNA from 1 species